CAGCCUGCAACUCGGCUGCAUGAAGCUGGAAUCGCUAGUAAUCGCGGAUCAGAAUGCCGCGGUGAAUACGUUCCCGGGUCUUGUACACACCGCCCGUCACACCAUGGGAGUUGGAAAUGCCCGAAGUCAGUGGCCCAACCGCAAGGAGGGAGCUGCCGAAGGCAGGUUCGAUGACUGGGGUGAAGUCGUAACAAGGUAUC
rnacentral:rRNA from 1 species